rnacentral:rRNA from 1 species
UGGGGAAUCUUGGGCAAUGGGGGAAACCCUGACCCAGCGACGCCGCGUGGGGGACGAAGGCCUUCGGGUCGUAAACCCCUGUUAGGUGGGACGAAUGUCCUUCGGUAAAUAGUCGGAGGAUCUGACGGUACCACCAGAGAAAGCCCCGGCUAACUCCGUGCCAGCAGCCGCGGUAAUACGGAGGGGGCAAGUGUUGUUCGGAAUUACUGGGCGUAAAGGGCGCGCAGGCGGCUUGGCAAGUCGAGUGUGAAAUCCCUUGGCUUAACUGAGGAACUGCGCUCGAAACUACCUCGCUCGAGGGCGGGAGAGGGAAGUGGAACUCUCGGUGUAGGGGUGAAAUCUGUAGAUAUCGAGAGGAACACCGGUGGCGAAGGCGGCUUCCUGGCCCGUACCUGACGCUGAGGCGCGAAAGCGUGGGGAGCAAACAGG